AUUGAACGCUGGCGGCAGGCCUAACACAUGCAAGUCGAACGAGUGGCGGACGGGUGAGUAAUGUCUGGGAAACUGCCUGAUGGAGGGGGAUAACUACUGGAAACGGUAGCUAAUACCGCAUACCAUCGGAUGUGCCCAGCUGGGAUUAGCUUGUUGGUGGGGUAACGGCUCCCCAAGGCGCCGAUCCCUAGCUGGUCUGAGAGGAUGACAAGCAACACUGGAACUGAGACACGGUCCAGAAUCCUACGGGAGGCAGCAGUGGGGAAGAUUGCACAAUGGGCGCAAGCCUGAUGCAGCCAGGCCGCGUGUAUGAAGAAGGCCUUCGGGGUGUAAAGUACUUUCAGCGGGGAGGCGUUACCCGCAGAAGAAGCACCGGCUAACUCCGUGCCAGCAGCCGCGGUAAUAC
rnacentral:rRNA from 1 species